rnacentral:lncRNA from 1 species
UUAGCCACAUUUUUAUCAUAAUUAUUAUUGCUUAUUUACACAUUUUUUAGUUUAAUUUAUGGUUUUUAUCUUGUUUUUACAAAAAAGGAAGAAAUUGGAAAAUGGGAGAAAAAAUGCAGAAAAAUUACAAAAGGAUGAUUUGCCCAGUGAUUUGCCCAAGAUCACCAGAAAAUCUGCUCCAAUCACUGCCCAGAUCAAGUUAAAGCAGAAACCCGGAGGCAACAGACAGCAGUGAUUUGCCCAGCGAUUUGCCCAAGAAACUCGAAGAUCACUGGCCAAAUCACUCGCAGAAGACAGAGNNNNN